rnacentral:lncRNA from 1 species
GUAUCUCCGCUCGCGCCCAGGCCGCAUCCGCCUCGAAGAGCGCGCGUAUCGCGGCCGCUUAACUGACACUCCUUGCAAGCAGCAACUGGCGAUCCGAUUUCCCAGGUAACGCCUCAAUUAGCAUUUAAUACCCUUCUGGUGUUCCCCAGGCGACGCUUGGAGAAGAGGAGAAACACGAUCGUAGCUGGCCACGGAGAAAUCUCGUCGAGCGGCAAGCGACAGGCGCCGACCAACGAGCGGAAUUCUCCGAGGCUCGGCCCUCGGAUGCCAGGCUAACCCGAUGAUCAUCCCGGGAGCAGACUAGCCUGAAGCCCG